AAUCAUCGAGGUAGUGGCACGUUAAGCUCUGGUUGUUGACUUUUAUACCUUACUCUAGCAGACUGUAGCUUUGUCCGUGACGGUGGCAAGACCAGCGGUACUGUGUGGGUUAGUGAGGGGCUGCGCUGUCCGAGAUACAUAAGGUAGGAGCGCUCAUAGAUUUUAUAAAGUUAAGGUUUAUGGCGGCAUUUCUAUAACGUGGGCUUUGUUCUUUUUUAGAUUGUCCGUCACUGCUGUUUUUUCCCUGGUUUUGAUUUGUUAAAGUAGUUUGUUUUUGAUGCCUUUGUUUACAUUGUUGUUCCAAUUUCUAAUCUCCCAAGAGUUAGUGUUUUUAUUAUCUGUAUAAAUCUGUAUCCAAUGAGCUGAUACUGUUGUGUUUUGUGUCUUUUACGGGGGAUCCAGACCCUGACGUGAGCAGCCGCCUUGGGAGUUGGGAUUCAGCGGUGUUAGGCCCUCACGUGCACUUCACUGCCCCUUAAGUGUGUGUGUGUUUAGUUAUUUUUGCACCUUUCUUAAUUUAUCCCUUUCUUUUCAAUUUGCUGUGUCUGUACAGGGCACAUGUGAGUGGCGGUGAGUAAAUCUUUAGAUUUCACCUGCUUGCUUCCCCACUCUAAACAGUAAUUGUCUGCGCUCGUUUAGUCAGUUUUCUAGACUGGAUACCAUUUUAAAUAAUAUUCUUGUUGUGGAUGAAUUCUUCAUAAAUUGUUGCUUUUACUGGUUGAAAUAGUGUUUUGUUAUGUAUUAAAUUUGUCUGAUAUUUAUAAAGAAAUAUCAUACUCUUGGGAGUAAAUCCUUGUCUUGAUCCCUUUGUGAUUGCCAAGUGUAUCGUGUUUCUAAUUGAAUUUGAGGAGUUUGGCUGUUUGAGGGGAAAAAAAGGGCAAAUGAUCAGUAGAAUAACUUUAGGCCGUGUGCACGUCCGCGGUUACACGUAGACAGUGGGGUAAACACAACAGGUAUGAAACACAUAAAUAAAAACCACACUUAACAGCUCAAUUAAAAGCAGCGGUAAACGGAUACGUUUUCAGUCUGGUUUUAAAAACAGCAAGAGAUGUAGCCAACCUGUAGGAUUCUGGGAGUUUACUCCAGAUAGUGGGUGCAUAAAAGCUAAACGCUGCUUCUCCUAUAUCAGUUUUCACUCUUGGGAGAGAAAGCGGACCCAUCCCAGAAGACCUGAGACUCCUGGAUGAUCGGUAAUUUGGCAGGAGAUCGUUAAUGUAUUUUGGGCCUAACCCAUGUGAUGCUUUAUAAACCAGCAGCAGUAUUUUAAAAUCAAUUCUUUGAUCGACAGGAAACCAGUGUAGAGAUUUCAGAACUGGACUGAUGUGGUCCACUCUCUUAGUGUUAGUGAGGACUCAGCAGCAGCGUUCUGAUAGAUUUCUUGGUGAGACCUGUAAAGACACCAUUACAGUAGUCCAGUCUACUGAAGAUGAAAGCAUGGACUAGUUCUUCUAGAUCCUGCUGUGUCAUUAGUCCUUUAAUCCUAUAUAUGUUCUUCAGCGAUAGUAGGCGGACUUAGUAAUUGCUGUAAUUUGACUGUUGAAGUUCAGUUCUGAGUCCAUAACUACACCUAUAUUUUUUGCCUUAUUUGUUUUAUUGAGCUUUUACGACUGAAGCUCUGCGCUGAAUUUUAUUCUUUUCUCCUUUGAUCCAAAAACCAUAACCUCUGUUUGGUCUUCGUUUAAUUGGAGAAAGUUCAUAAGGGAGAUUACAUCAACCCGAAGGCCAAAGAACUAUGCCAUGAGGAUAGAGACAGGAGAAAAUGAUGAACUAGGUCAAAGGUUAAACACCUAAGCAAAAUAUUCCCUAACAGGUAGUACCUCUCUUCAUGGAGACGGUGUUCCCUAAUGGCAGUGGCCUCUCUCAGCAGAAUAAUGCUCCCUGCCAUACUGCAGAGAGGGUUCAUGAAUGUUUUGAGGAACACGACAAGAAGUUCAAGGUGUUGACUUGGCCUCCAAAUUCCCCAGAUCUCAAUCCAUCGAGCAUCUGUGGGAUGAGCUGGAUAAACAAAUCUGAUCAUUGGAGGCUCCACCUCGCAACUUACAGGUCUUAAAGCACCUGCUGCUAGCGUCCUCAGUUAGCAUGUAACUAAUAUAUCGUAUAUAUGAGUAGAGGGAGAAUGACGCGUGGAGUUGCAUACUAAACACACCGCCUCUAACUCUCACUCGUUGACGCUGCAAUAAUACUAUUAGUGUUUAAUAACCAAUAAACCUCAGAAGAAUUGUGUCAUAAGAUAUGAUAAACAGAGACGUCAUGAGAAGGCUAAGCAGAACAUACCAUGGACCCGCUUCCAUCGACGUCAGCCAAUAGAAGAAGACAGAAAAAGAUGACCAAGUUGCUGCUAACCAAUAAGAAAAGACGAGACUGGACGUUGGAGUAGAAAACAACUUGAAAAGUUUGAGAUCAGCCUUCUUACUACGACGCUGUGGACAGCUAACCACUCAGUAGUGGACUGUGGGCCAGUUAAAGGAGAAGACCUCGGCUGAACGUCCAUUGUAGACUUAUCAUAUCAUUGUAUUAAUAAAUCCAGUUAAAUUUAGAUGAGAAGUCUCUUGGAUUCUUUUAGUCUAUUCCUACCAUAGAAUUUAGAACCCUACAGUAUGUCCACAGUAUGAAUGUGUUACGUGUCUAAUACGGUAAUAUGGUAAUCGCUUUGAGCACCUGGAAAGGCGCUAAAUAAAUCCAAUGAAUUAUUAUUAUUAUUAUUAUUAUUAUUAACUGUUGCGCAGCCGAAGAGAGGAGGCUCUGCAGCGAGGGAGCAAAACCAGAACAUCACUGGUACCGAUCUAAUAUCAUCAGUCUAUGUGUUGUGUCCAUGAGCAAUCCUGUAUUGUAUAAUGAGAGUAAAGCUGAACCUUGGACCGUGUGUAUUUACUUUAUACAUUUGGAAUAUAAGUUAAGCUUGUUAAACACCUCCAACAGAUGGUGUCUAGUUAGUUCACUAUUCAUACUCACUGAUGCUCAGGGCUUAAUGCUUUGUUUGAUGCAGAUGCUAGUACCUAUUCUUAAACUCUGGUGACACGCUACAUAAGGUAACGCAACACACACAUACAAGUAGUGUCUAAUGAAUAUUAUAUGUUGAAGUUUUCACACUUUUCGUCAACAAUGUGAAAAUGACCAAAGCUCAUUAAAUGCGUUUGCAGUGUUGACAUUUCAUUUGCAUCCAGCCAUAAAAGCACAUCUUCACAGCUUCAUUUCACACUUUACUUUUCCAAUUUCCUCCUCAGUUAUGCCAGCGCGAAGGGAAUCAAUGUAUGACAGUAAUAUCCGCAGCCUUUUAUUAAUGCCCAGAUGUCAACUAUAGCAGCAUACAGUACAGAACGACCAAUUCCCAAAAAGAUUUUGCGGCUUUUGCAGUCUCUUAACCUGCAUGGGUAAGACAAAACUAGAUACUGUUUGAUUAUCAAAGCACACACAAAUAGUAAACCUGUCAAGGAAAAAGCCUCUUUCUGCUCCUGUGGUAUUUGCACAUGUUUAAACGGAGCAAAAUGGACCCCUUCUAUGCAAAUGGUCCUCAUUGUAAUAUAACUUCAAAUUCAAAAAGAUUAUGACUAAUAGCCACAAGCAGCUACAGUCCAAAUGAUACUAUCUGCUUACCUCAUUUCCCAUAGCAUGCAGAGCAUGUCUUCGUUGUGUGUUCUAUGUUAAACAUUCAGGGAUACUCCCAGUGCCUGAAGAAAAUAUGCAAUUAUAACUGGUGGUAAUUACGAUUCCAUGAAUCUUUUGUCCGAUGACAAACUUCAAUGGUGGAGAUAAACACUCCCUCUGACUGGUGUCUUGGAUCAGUUAGCAAACAGAUGUCCUGCCGAUGAGAAGUUCUGAUUGAAUGGACUAUUCCCCAUAAAGCACACCAUGUUUCUGACCAAAUCAUUCUGGUUUGGAUGGAUGAGCAACUCAGUGUACUUUAUGGUGUUUUCUGCCAAAGCGGGAUCCCAUGUGAUUCCAGACUGAUGAUUUCAAAAUAUCCCAUUACACAUUACAAAUACACUCAUGCUGAAUUUUGUUGGUUCUGGCGGUUUAUGUGCUGUCGUGUGACUGGAAGUCCUGCCCGGUCUGAAGUGAGUAAAGUUGUGUUGAGCUGAAUGAUGACACUCAUUUACUUUAGUAAAAGUAGCGUCUGACAGUCCUAGAGAAGCAGAGUGAAGCCUGGCCGGCAGCAGCCAGAGAGUGUGUUCUCAUUCUAACUGGCUGUAUAUCAGCUGCUGCCAUCUGUGCCAGCCACAUCUUACAUUCAGCUCCUCUUUUUGAGCACAAAAAUCGAGCAGGCAGAUUCUCCUAAAGCCUUGGCAUUACACAGGGAGUGGAACAAAUGGGAUUUCUCUUGUCUUUGAUCUUUAUUUUCAGUCUGAUGCCAUCUGCAUGCAAAGGCUCUAGCAUGGCCCUCUACUGCAGACAAGGGAUCCACAUUAAUAUUGAAAUGAUAGCAAUUAUCCAAAGAGGCCGCAUGCAUACAUGUUGUCACAUGUCCCAUUAUGAAGGCUGCAACAUGCAUAUUUGCAUUCUAACACAGAUAUGGAACUCACUCAAUGGAGAUUCUAUACAUAUUGUGUCGGGAUGAUCUGACUAUCUGAAUAUACAAUACAUAUAGUAUUUUAAGCAGCCCCCCCAAAUCUGAAAUAUGCUCUGCAAACUGUCAAAGUGAUAGGAUUUAGUGUAAUGUUGCAUUUGCUUUUGGUAGGCACAUUCAGGAAGGUUUAAUCACACAUAAUUACCGCCCAUUACAGUCAGCAGCACAGAGUGGAUGAUGAAAGAGGUCUAAUCCUCAGGAAAGGUGGAUGCUGCUUCCCUCUGAUGAGCAGAUAGAAUCCUCUUUUCAACUUCAACUCACCAUUCUCUGAAAAUUGAAUAUCAAAGCAACUUUUAUCAAAAGAAAGUGAAUAUCUUUGUCUUUAUACCAGUGAACCAUUAUAAAUGAAUAAUUCAAAAUUGUAAUAAUGUGCUUAUUUGCUUUGUUUCUUGAACAAUGGGAUGGAUAUCAUGGUGCUGGAGUCAGGACAGUGAUAGUGAAGGCAAGCAGCUCGCCAGCUCUGUCCGAGAGCAACUCAUAAUAGGUGCUUUCAUCGUCGUCGUCGUCAUCAUUAUCAUCAUCAUCAUCAUCAUCAUCAUCAUCAUUACCAUCAUCGUCGUCGUCGUCGUUAUCAUCAUCAUCAUCAUCAUCAUUACCAUCGUCGUCGUCGUCGUCGUCGUCGUCAUCAUCAUGUCGUAGAUUGAGUCUCCAGGUGUGGAUGAAGGUGUUAAUGGUUGAGUCUUGAUCAGAGAUUUAGGGGUGGGUAUAUUGUGUUUCUUUAGACAAACCAGCAACCCGAUGGCAAACUUGUACAUAUCUGCCGGGGGAGAACCGGGGGAUUGUUUGGAUUUUUUCCGUUUUUAAAACGUUUCAUGUUAGACUCAUAUCAUACUUGCAAAAAAAAUAAAUCCUAUUUGUCAAAUGAGUGAUUAGAUUUAGGAAAUAAAAUUACUUAAAAAUGA